AUGAAAUAAUUACACCAAGCUCGACUAAAUUUAAUACUGCGAUUAAAUGGAUAUAAUGCCAGCCCUCUUAGCAAAUUCACAAGAGAGAAGAACGGUCAAGUGAAGAGCGGCCAAGAGAAGAGCAGUACAGCAGUAGAGCAUAAGAACAGGAAGGACCGGAAUGAACCCAUGCUAAAAAGAUUUUCAAGGUCAGUUGCAUACUCGAACUUUUGAGGAAAGUUUAGCGGUAAAAGCACUUAACAUCUGAGUGGCUAUAAAUAUUGCAAAUAACCUAAUGCGUAAUUUGUACUCGUAUACCAAAAGCAAAGGCUCCAUAUCAAUGCCGAUAAGACCAAAUAAUUACAUGAAAAUGUCACGCGAUUUUAAAAGCGGAAGCCUGAAAAAACAUCUAUUGAACAACACGUUUUUGAAUCACUUGAGAGAUUCAACUACCUGAGGGUACUAAAAAAAUCACAAUAGUGUUCAGGACUGCACCCAAGAUCGACUUGUUGCAGCAUACAGAGCUCUCUACGCCAACCUGAUACUACUAAAAUCCAGACUACUAUCGCGCAGCUUUAACUCUAAGAUCAAGUUAUGCGUAUGAGUAAAGAAAUUCCUUCUUAAAUUACAACGCGCUGGCUACUGGAUGCAAAUGAAGGCCUAGGAAACGCGGGUUCAAAGAUAUCAAGAAACUGAAAAUACAUAAUUGAGGUCUGCUGCCUUGAAUCGAAGGCUAGUUGAUGAAGCCAAAGCUCACCCCGAGCAGCAACGCUGCCUGAU